rnacentral:rRNA from 1 species
AGUGAACGCUGGCGGUAGGCCUAACACAUGCAAGUCGAACGGCAGCACAGUAAGAGCUUGCUCUUACGGGUGGCGAGUGGCGGACGGGUGAGGAAUACAUCGGAAUCUACUUUUUCGUGGGGGAUAACGUAGGGAAACUUACGCUAAUACCGCAUACGACCUACGGGUGAAAGCAGGGGAUCUUCGGACCUUGCGCGAUUGAAUGAGCCGAUGUCGGAUUAGCUAGUUGGCGGGGUAAAGGCCCACCAAGGCGACGAUCCGUAGCUGGUCUGAGAGGAUGAUCAGCCACACUGGAACUGAGACACGGUACAGACUCCUACGGGAGGCCGCAGUGGGGAAUAUUGGACAAUGGGCGCAAGCCUGAUCCAGCCAUACCGCGUGGGUGAAGAAGGCCUUCGGGUUGUAAAGCCCUUUUGUUGGGAAAGAAAAGCAGCAGGUUAAUACCCCGCUGUUCUGACGGUACCCAAAGAAUAAGCACCGGCUAACUUCGUG